rnacentral:rRNA from 1 species
UUCCUACGGGGCGCAGCAGUGGGGAAUAUUGCACAAUGGGGGAAACCCUGAUGCAGCGACGCCGCGUGAGUGAAGAAGUAUUUCGGUACGUAAAGCCCUAUCGGCAGGGCAGAAGCUGACAGUACCUGACUAAGAAGCCCCGGCUAACUACGUGCCAGCAGCCGCGGUAAUACGUAGGGGGCAAGCGUUAUCCGGCUUCACUGGGCGUAAAGGGAGCGCAGGCGGCACGGCAAGCCUGGUGUGAAAACCCGGGGCCCACCCCCGGGAGUGCAUUGGGCACUGCCGCGCUAGAGUGCCGGAGGGGG